rnacentral:lncRNA from 1 species
CAAAACUUGAAAAUUUCAAAUUGAAUUUUUGGUGUUUUUUCCAUGGAAUCUUUUUGGUAUUUGGUCAAACAUAUAACUAUGUUAACCUCUUCAAUUUCUAAAACAUUUUAAGUGGUAAGCUCUUGUUGAUUCAGAAAUACAUGCCUCCGCUCGCAAAACUUCAAACUGCAUUAUCUCUAAAACGACAAUAGAUAUCUCAAAACUGUUAAAAAUGAUCAAUGAUCUACAGUUGAAGGACAACAUUAUAGAAAAAGAAUUGGGACAAUUUCAAAGUUCACCAAGGUCACAAUUAAUCAUCAAAUAUAUGAUGCAAUACCAAACUUGAGAACCGGAAGUCGUAGAGACAUAGGACUAUCACCAUUCAACUCAGGACCACUUGACCUUUCAAAUAUCACAAGGUCAAGGUCAUAGUAUAAUGUGAAGGUCAAGGUGAAAUUUCAUCAUGACCUGACAUUGAUCUCAAAUUAUAGGUCUUGAACUACUGAUCAUCUUUGCAGUUUAUAGUAGGUUGAUAUCUGUUACCUUUAAAAAGAUAUACACAUAAUACUAUACUUUUAAGAAUCAUCCCGUCGUAACUUUUGAACAGACAGUCGGAAUCUUUUUAGCUCAGUUCAUAAAAUGUAGAGCUCGUCGAGAGGAACAUUUUAUACGCUGUAAGUAUGCAGCAAACUCUUAUCGUUUUCUUAAUAUGAAAGCUUGAAAUUGCAGCGUAAUUUUUUUUUUGCACUCAGUGACCUUUGACCUUGGGUGCAAAUUAAAGGUCACAUAAACUUAAGAUUAUUGGUGUAGGUCCCAAGUCUUUACGACUUCCGGUUUUGAGAUAUAAAUUUUCAAAAAUUGUGUAUAUUUUUUCAAGGGAAAUAACUCCUUAUAAGGGUUAACAACAAAAUGAUUGUAUAUGUCAAUUAACAUUGCCAUCUGGUCUUGUACAUGUUGCCGUUUUCAAAUGGAUUCUAUCUUGAAUACUUUUUGAGAAAAAUGUAAAAGAAAGAAAUUGCUUCAAGGGGAUAUAACUCUCAUAGGGAAUGAUGAAAUCCUUAGCAGCCUCAUAUGGUAACACAUCAUGAUGAGAUCUAACUAUUGUCCAAAUAAGGUCAUGAUAUCUUAAAAAACAACGAGGGGGGGGGGCAUGUCGAAAAAAACCAAUAAAAGGGAGAUAACUUCUAAAGGGGAUGAUGAAAUCCUACACAGCCUCAUCUGGUAAUACUUCAUGAUGAGGUCUACCGAUGGUCCAUAUUUGGUCUUGAUAACUCCAAUAGAAACGAGGGGAGGCCAUGUCAAACAAAUGCUGGAUGAAAAAAAAAAAAAAAAAAAAAAAACAGGAGAAAAACAAUAAGGUCUUUCCUCGCGGAGAGGAAAGACCUUAACAAUAAGGUCUUUCCUCGCGGAGAGGAAAGACCUUAAAAACACUAGUAUCUCAAUUGUUUGUAAAACAAUUGAAAGGUCUUUCCUGUAAAAGUGAUGUUUUCGUAAUGUUCUUUGUACGACCUUUCGUUUGAUAUACGACAAGCAUACCUUCUGAAACUUUUCGCUUUUUACACUUAAUGACCUCAUCUGCC